rnacentral:rRNA from 1 species
GGACGUGGAAGCCCAGCAAUGGGUGAAGCUGACCGGUACUAAUAGGCCGAGGACUUGACCACACACA